rnacentral:rRNA from 1 species
AGUGAACGCUGGCGGUAGGCCUAACACAUGCAAGUCGAACGGCAGCACAGUAAGAGCUUGCUCUUACGGGUGGCGAGUGGCGGACGGGUGAGGAAUACAUCGGAAUCUACUUUUUCGUGGGGGAUAACGUAGGGAAACUUACGCUAAUACCGCAUACGACCUACGGGUGAAAGCAGGGGAUCUUCGGACCUUGCGCGAUUGAAUGAGCCGAUGUCGGACUAGCUAGUUGGCGGGGUAAAGGCCCACCAAGGCGACGAUCCGUAGCUGGUCUGAGAGGAUGAUCAGCCACACUGGAACUGAGACACGGUCCAGACUCCUACGGGAGGCAGCAGUGGGGAAUAUUGGACAAUGGGCGCAAGCCUGAUCCAGCCAUACCGCGUGGGUGAAGAAGGCCUUCGGGUUGUAAAGCCCUUUUGUUGGGAAAGAAAAGCAGCAGGUUAAUACCCCGCUGUUCUGACGGUGCCCAAAGAAUAAGCACCGGCUAACUUCGUG